rnacentral:lncRNA from 1 species
CUUUUGACAUGACUUUCUCACUGAGGUUAAUCAUUUCCAGCUUUUGAUCUAAAGUGAGAAAUUUGCAACUCCUUCUUUCACUUGAACAGUUAGAGGCCAUUGUGGGGUAAUGAAUUGGCCUAAUUUCAAUAUUGUCCCUCAGGGAAUUAGGAGGCCUGGGAAGAGGAGGAGAGAGGGGAGAGUGGCCAGUUGGUGGAGCAGUGAGAACAUAGCAUUUGUUAAGUUUGCUGUCUUCGAAGGUUGUGGUUUGUGGUACCCCAAAACAAUUAAAAUAGGAACAUCAAAGAUCACAGAGCAGCCGGGCACGGUGGCUCACACCUGUAAUCCCAGCACCUUGAGAGGCUGAGGUGAGUGAAUCAUGAGGUCAGGAGUUCGAGACCAGCCUGGCCACCAUGGUGAAACCCCGUCUCUACUAAAAAUACAAAAAAUUAGCCGGGCAUGGUGGCAGGCACCUAUAGUCCCAGCUAUUCAGGAGGCUGAGGCAGGAGAAUCACUUGAAUCCAGGAGGUGGAGGUUAGAGUGAGCUGAGAUCACACCACUGCACUCCAGCCCAGGUGACAGAGUGAGAUUCCUUCUCAAAAAAAAAAAAAAAAAAAAAUCACACAGCACCACAGUAAGUAUAAUAAUAAGGAAAAUGUUUGAAAUAUUGUCAGAAUUGUCAGGAUGUGAGAGACAAAGUAAGCACAUGCUGUUGGAAAAAAUGGUGUUAUAGAUUUAUUCGACAUGACAUUGCCACAGGACUUCUACUUGUGAAAAAUAUCUGUAAAGUGAGAUGAAGCAAAGUGAAGUAACAUGAGGUAUGUCUGUAGCUGUUGCUGUAGUGGUUUCCAAAUGGUGGUUUUCUUUUCCUUUUUUUUUUUUUUCUUUUUGGUCUGCAUUGGGGUCUUGCUCUGUUGCCUAGGGUGUGGAGUGCGGUGGCAUGAUCAUGCCUCACUAUAGCCUUGACCUCCUGGGCUCAAGCGAUCCUCCCACCUGAGUCUCCUGAGUACCUGGGACCACAGGCACAUGCUAACGCACCCACUUAAUUUUUUUAUUCGUAGAGCCGAGGUCUCACUAUGUUGCCCAGACUGGUCUCAAGCUCUUGGGCUCAAGCAGUCCUCCUGCCUCAGCCUCCCAAAGUGCCAGGAUUACAGGUGUGAGCCACCACACCCAGUCCAAAAAGUGAUUUUCUAAUUCCAUAGUUUCUUCUACAUUUCUUAACUGGAAUUUUGUAAGGAAGAGUUAUCCUUAUUCAUUUAUUUACCCAUUUACUUGUAGGAGCAUGUAUCAUAAAUUCUUAAUCUAUGGGGUGUAGUUAGCUACUGUAAAUUUGAUGCACAUAUUUUUCCAGAUUCAAUAAGUAGGAUCCCCAUCAAGCUAUCUUCUGAAUCUUUAAAAAUGUAUUCUCCUUAUUUCAUGGGUAUAUAAUUAUUUUCUGGGCAACAGUUUGUUCAUGGUACAUUUGUCUCCAGCCCUAGACUCAGAAAAAUGUAAUUUAUUUUAAUGGAGAAUACUAUUUAGAAGCUGCAGUCUCUGUGUAGGGAGGUGUUCCUAGGUAAUAGUGCCCUGGCUUUUAGGUCUUCUCUAUGGAGGAUAUGGCAAAGACAUACAAAAUUAUAUAUACGUAUCCACACAUUAAUAACUCUAUUUCUAUAUUAAAAACAUGACCACAAGCCAACACUUUUAAUUCCACUGCAGCACUGCUGGGUUAUUUCUUGCUUUCCAAAUUCCCUUGUCUGUAGCUAUCUUUCAUCACUUGCAAAAAUAGCACGUGCUCAAUCCUAGAUUAAAAUAUAAGCUACUCUCAGAAUUGAUAACUCAUACCACUCUUUUUAAAAAUCAACUAACCAGAAUUCAGUUUUUAUUCACAGUUCUUAUCUUUAGCUCAGGGCGUAAUAUAAAAGCACUAGGUUUAAAACUUACUUGGUCAGCAGCAAUCCACUUCUAGGUACAUGUCCAAAGGAACUGAAGAAAGCAUCUCAAUGUGUGAAUGCCUACCUGUGUUCAUUGCAGCAUUAUUCAGAAGAGCCAAGAGGUGGAAGCAAAGUAAAUGUCCAUUGACAGAUGAAUUGGUAAACAAAAUGCAUUAUAUACAUACAAUGCAAUAUCAUUUAGCCUUAAAAACAAAAUUCUGCCAUAUGCUACAACAUGGACGUUAUGCUAAGUGAAAUAAACCAGUUCCGAAAGGACAAAUACACCCAUUUCCACUUAUAUGGGGUAUCUAACGUCAAACUCAGAAGAACAAAGUACUGCGGUAUUUGCCACAAGCUGGUGGAGGAGAAAAUGAGUUGUUCAAUGGGUAUUGAGUGUCAGCCACGCAAGAUGGAAAAGCUUUUUGAGAUUUGUUGUAUAAAAAUAUGCCUAUAGUUAACAAUACUCUUCGGUACACACAAAGUAUGUGAAAGGGUAAAUUUUAUGUGUUUUUAUC